AAAGCCAUCGUGCCAGUCCUUACCUUGUUAGGAUAUCACAAACUUAUUGCUAGUGAUGUAUGAUAUUCAUUGCUAGUAAAUUUUUGAAGCCCAUAUUUUCCUAAUUCUAUUGGGAAAUGCCUUGAAACUUUAAUAUAAAAUUUGAGAUAAUUUUCAAUUCUAUUAGAGUACAAAACAGAACAUGAGUACAAAGGGGUAAACAUCACAGGUUAUUUCUAGAGAAGGUAUUGUUUUUUCCUUAGAACUUCAUUUAAAGAAAAAUCCUUCCUCUGACUUUUUAAACUUAACAUGCAACAUCUUCCUCAGCAACAAACAUGCUCAAGAACAAAGGAAUUUUUAUCAGAAAACCUUGGAAGGUGUCACUAGAAGAAUGUUUUCUUCAUUUCUAAAGAUACACAUGGGAAGUACAACUACAAGCAUCAAGCUGAUUUGGGAGGAAACAAUUGUUGAUAGCCCUGGUUUUAGUGUUUUUAAGAGGAACAAUUACAGAUCUAUCAAGGUAGAAUUAUAGAUUUUUGUAGGAAUACUAUUAUAAUUCUUAGCCAACACCUACCAUAUCAAGAAAGUCACCUGCAGCAAAAUUGGUAAUACCAAUAACAUAGCAAUCCCACAGUGGAGCAUUAAAUCAGUAUUGAUAAAAUUAUAAUUAGGUGAUAUUAGCUAUACAAAGGGAAAGUAGAAGUAAGAAAGUAGCCCAGAAAUUUGUUUUUUUAACUGUCUUACACUCCCUAAUAUUUUUUUCCCUCUGCAUUCUACAACAUGACUGCAAGUUGGAAUAAAAUGCAUUUCUAUUCAUAUAUUCCUCUCUCAUCUACAGACUAUUUUACUUAUCUGUUAAAAAAUGAAGUAUAUAUUCUUGGUUUAUAGUGAUGCUGAUAGGGAGUUGCAUUGCAGCUCAAAAAGAAUAAUGUAAACCCAGGAGAAACCAGUGGGUUCUGAUGACCAUUUUUGUGAAUGUCAAUGACAAAAAAUUGAGGAGGAAAGGAGGAUGUCAGGAAAAAAUUAACCAAUCUCAAGACUGCCACAUGUAAUACUGUUUAUAAUGUAAGCAAUCUGCUAGAAAUACUAAUUAUUGUUCAUUUCUAGAAUCAUAAUUAGAAUAUAAGCAUUCAUAUAAUUUGUAGCAACAAAUAAAUCUGUGCUCUGUAAAUAUGAUGUUCAUUUGUCACAACAAAAUAACAUUUCCACCCCCUUUCUACAUGUUGUAAUUUUCUGCAUGUAGGAAGCAUGUCCUGUGAUUGUUAUCUGAUACUAAAAUCUUUCAAUUAUAAAAAAAGCUGUACAUCAAUAUGAAAAACAAUUUAACUUUGAAUGUAAGCAGCACAUACAUUUUUACAUGUCCAUUUUUAAUGAGUUAAAAUAAUGUACAUGCACAUAAUAUACACAGAGAAGCAAAAUAUACCAUUUAAAUAAUUUAAAUCUGUAGGAAACCAGUGUUCUUAAAAAUAACAGGAAUCUGUAUUGCAAGCAUUCAUUUAAGUGAUCUCCAUACAAGUAGUACUAUUGAUUUGAAGUGAAUGCUUUUCUGCGUAAACACUACUUAUAUUACUAAAAAUUUGCAGGAAAGGUUUCCAACUCAGUGGAUAUCCCUUUUGGCCCCCCCACCACUUCAAGCUGUGGGAGGAAUUUUUACAAUGUGGAUUGCCAUUAGCUUUUGAAAGCUGAAAAUACUCUUGUAGUUUCAUCAAUAUGUGAGAUAAGAUCCCUGCUUUAAAUAGAGUUUGAAGUUUCAGAAGGAAAUAAUGAUGUAGCAAAGGAAUAAAGAAAUGAGCAAAGGCUUUGUUGUGAUACAUUUUGUUUAUCCCUUCUUUUUUAAUUUAGUUUUCUUUCUUUGAGAAUGAGACUGGGGGUUAAAGAAUUAGGCUGUGGGUAGGCAUUCCACUCUGACUUCAGCCUAGACAGGGUAACCGGCCUACCCUCAUGGCUAUUUCUCUCUGCUUCCCCAUCUCUCUCCUGCUUGAGGUUCCUCAAAUACAGUUACAUAAAUGCAUAUGCAGUUGAUCUGGUUUUGUCAAAAUGAUCCAGAUUUUUUUUAAAAAGAUCCAUUGUUAAAGUGUUUAAGUGGUUAAGGAUCACUGAAUCCUAGCUAUACAUGGCAUUGUGCUGAAGUGAUGAUGGCACCAGCUGGAAAGGAUUAGUGGUGACAAACAUUCAUCUUGUAGAUGACAACCUCUCAUUGUGUAGCCAGAUCAGCAUAUUUAAAUUCACAUUGUUUUUAAAACAAACCAACCAAUGAACCAAACAAACAAAAAAAUCCCCAAACAUAAUGGAAGACGUAGACUCAAGAAAUCCAAAGAAAAUUUGCAGAAGGUUGAGGACUAGAGAAGGAGGUUUGAAUUUCUAUAAUAAGCCAGAAAAUAACAUACAAAAUGGUGUAAAAGAUACGUGAGGUAUGAUUUUUUUCAACCACUUUUUUAACAUUUUUGAGAGAGAGGGAAAAUCAACCAAGUAAUAGAGGUUAGGAAGAAGCUGCAGCAGAUAUAGGUGAAAUCUGUAGGAACUGUAGGAACUGGAGGAAAAAGGGUAGAGAAUUAAAGGCAAGAGGAAGUCAUGAAUGCAAAUAUGGAAGAAGUGCUUGAGAAAGUAGAAAGAGUAAAAAAAUCAGUGCUUGGUUUAGAAAUUGCCUGAAGUAGAAGUGAAAGAUUUUAGGUCAGGCCAUAGGCAGUUCUAGUAAAGUGAGUAUGAAAAGGAAUUUUGAAUUCAAAAUUGCAAUAACGUAAAAAAGCUGGUAAUCACAGAAACUAUGUGAAAGUUUUAAGAAGAUAAGCAGUGCUGUGGAGGAUAUUGGCCUGAUAAUAAAAAUAGAGUGUGCCUCACAGCAGUAAUAUUCCUCUUGAUAAUUUUCCAGAGAUUGCCGGUUGGCAUUUUUAGAAAGGUAAAGUAGAAAGUCAUAGGUUGUGAGGUAUUCGUCUGUGUCUGCUGAGAUUUCAUAUGGUCUCAGAAUGUGCAUAGCGCUUAAUAGACUUGGUCAGGAGACAGGACAGUUGGCAACAGGAUAGGAGUCAGGAACAGAAGUUGCCUCAGUAAUGUCCAUAUUGUGCAGCUGUAAGUCAUUGACUUAGCAAAUGGAAGAGUAAAAGGAAUUUUGUUUUAUUUGAUUUAUGAAUCAGUAGCUCCUUACUAUGGCAGUUGAAUCCCAUAAAAUAUUUAGAUUUGCUUUUGUAAUCUGUUCAAAGACUAAAGCUCUCUAUUGUGUCCCCUUUUCCAAAGAAAAGGAACAAUCAUAAAGUAUGUCUCAGGAGUAUCUAUAAUUCCCAGAGUUUGAGCCUGCAUAAAUGAGAGUGAAAAGCUUUCUUCAGUCUGAUAGAAUCCACUCUGAAUCUGUUGGCUGAAUGCAAAAUAAGCGUGCAUGGAGAAAGGACCACUCUGUAACUGUCUUUUCAGUGAGGAUUGGGUUCUGGCUCACACAUCUGUUGGCUUCACAAGUAAUUUUAGCUAUUUAUGCAUAGAUGAAUACAUCUUUACAGAGAAAGAGAAAUUUACAGUACAUGCCUUUGCAGCGCAUGUCCUGUAUGUGUGAAAAAAUUCAAUAGCUGCUUUUUGUUGGUGUGUAAUUCUUUAAGACUGUUUACUGUAAUUAGUCCUAUGCAAAUCUUCAUUGUACAGAAAGGCAUGCAAUACCUUUCUAUAACCUGCCAAUACAUUGUACUAAAUGUUAGAGGGUUAGAGAUUAUUAGAACACUAAUAAUGUUAGAGACUAUUAGAUCACUAGAACGGGAUGAAGAACACAUCAUGGAGCUGAUGUUCAGGUGCUUCCCUCUGUUUUCACAUAUCAAUUUUGCUUACUCAGAUAAGCCACAAUCAGUCCUCUAAAAGACACACAUUUGUUGCAACAAAUGUGGUCAAGUGAAAUAGCAUCUUCAGUGUUUUCUACUUGGACUAGCACAAAUUUGUCACAAUGGAAAUAUUUUCCUAUUCAGCUUUUUCCUACUAAGUGGACUGGAAUUACAUGUGGUAAUGUACACUAGUGUAAAACAGUGGCUGUACAUCCCAGAAAACUGUUUAUUUCUGCAGGUAUAAUCAAGGAACCUUGGGGCUAGUAACAUUUGUGUUUGUAAAUAUGACUCCUCAACUUCUACAUAUGAGGUCUACAGAUAAUAUGGUGAUUUUUCUCAGGGAAAUGAACAACCAUGUUUUCUAAACUUGAAAUAUUAAAAAUACUGCUGCUGUACACUCUUUAUUUGGAAACGGAUCCUCUAAAGUAAGUAAUGGUACAUUGUUCCUUGCUUUGUCAUAAACAUUGGUUAGGGGCUCUCAAAGUUUAUAGAAACUAUAGCCUUUAGUUAAGAUUGUGCAUAGAUAAAUAUGCUAUGCACAAAAAUUGAAGACAUUAAAUACAUACAGAGUAUAUCAAUAUUAUGCCUUAAAGCCUUUUAUGUAAUGGCAGUACACCAGUUUUCCUUUAUGGGAAAUGGUGUUACAGUAAGAUGGAGACAAGGGGAGUUUGACAGAAGCCAUGACAAAACCUGUGUCUUGCCUUCCGAAAGUGGAUGUGACAAACAAGCAACGCUCUACGAUGUAUUUCCCUUCCUUGAAGAGCAAGGGAAAUAAAACAGCAGCUCUCAGCUGCCUGAGAAACCCCACCUUGAUACUUUGCUUGAGCAAGCAAAGGUAAGAGUGCAUGUGAGGUAUAGUCAGUGUUUAAUGACAGACGUCUUUGGAGUUCCAGUCUUAUUAAUGGGAGAACACACCCUGGUAAACGUUGUACUUCUGCAAGGGAGUAUAAAGGGAACAGACUUUUCAAUCAGCACUCCAAUUCUUACUGAGAUCCUGCUAGGGUUUUUUGUAGACCUGUGUACUUCAUAAAUUGUGGAUAGCACUAUAACAAUGUUUUCCUUUACUUUUGAUCAGUGGCAGAGAUGCUGCCUGCCUUUGGGAGCCCUCCCUGUAUGUGCUAAUGUUGCAGCUCUCGCUUUAUGUGAACUUGUUCAGCUGAGCCAACCUAAUGACAGCUUCCACAGAGGACAGAGAGGAAAGUGUCACAUCUGACUUCUCAGUCUUCCAAAGGUGCUGUCAAAACUUGGAAUUUAAUCUUUAGUGCUUAAAAACUCAAAGCUCUAGAGUCAGGAUUUAGGCUUCGUAAAAGUCAAGCUGUGUAAUUAUUUGAAAGCUCAGUGGUCAAACCCAAAAAGCUCAGACUUCAGCUGAGUGCAGAUUUAAUAGUGCUAGUUUGUAAUUUCUAUAAAUGCACAAUAACACAUAUAUAUUAUAGUAUAGUUACUGACUUAAUGGGUAUAUUUUCCUGAUAAGAACUGACAAAUCAGUUAAAUGCAUUAGCAUGGUAUAUAAAAGUUUCGAAUACUGUUAUUCAUGAGGCAACUGCCUAGGCUCUGUGCAGAAUUUGCUUGUGACAUGAAGGAAUGAUCAAAGACAGCUCAGAUAUGUAUAGAUCAAUGCUUGAAAUUCCCGACUGUAGUGAAGGGUCUCUGAGAAACUGAGCACUGUGCAGAAAAAUAAAUGAGUUCAGGCUUAUUUAUAUACAUUUGAGAGGUUUUUUAAGUUUUAAUGAAAGAUGGGCUUGUUUGGAUUCCUUUUUCCUUUGCAUUUUACUAGGAGUUUUAAUAAGCACACAUUUGUUUUGCUUUUUGGAAAAGAAGCAACCGUUUGUGCUCCUUGAUUGGCAUACCUUUUAAGAUGGAAUGUCAAAAUUGGAUAAUGAUUUCUCUAAAUGUGUUUAUCAAGUAUUUACAGAUGCUUUUUUUUUUAGACAGCUUGUAGUGUGAAAAUAAAGCUGGAUGUUUGAAAGUGUCAGUAAAGCUCUGCUUCUUGUGGGCUGGUUUCAGAUUGCUGGGAUUUGUUGACUGAAUUUUGUUGUGAUGUCCUGAAUCAGUGAUGGUGGUCAUAUGUACUCAAACAGCUGAAACUGAAUAUUCUGAAAAAUACAAUUUCAUAAAACACUAGGCUAUAUCAAUAAAUAAUUUGAAAUGUUUUUCACUGCAUUUAUUUUUAUGGAACUUUGCAAUCACUGAUCAGGGCUUAACUCCAAGGAAAAAAGAUUUCUUCUGCUCUAUACAGUUGCUUGCUUACACCCACUUUUUGAUUACCUUUAUUUUAUCUGCCUGUAUGAGAUAGCUGCUGAUUCAUAAAAUGCCAUAUAUGUAAACUUUGGCUUCAUUACUGUUUCUGCACGAUGUGAUGUUGAAUAUUUGGCUAUUCUGCAUUUUGAUAAAUAGUAUAAAAGCAACUUUCUACUAUAAUUGAAAUCGUAUUUAGUCUGGUGUAAAUGAAAGCAGAAUCUGGGUUGCUUCAUUCCAACAGACACUUGUUUUCUAGUGUUAUACUGAUCUAUUAAACCUAUGUAAAGUAUUUACUGUCUUCUAUACUGAGUUCACUUUCACAGACUAUUGGUUUCUAACACACUACUAAUUCUUGAAUCUUGGCAUUCAUGAUGACAUUACUGGAUUGAAGAAGGGAAAAUAUUAGGAAAGAAGGAGGUGAACCAUGAGAUUUUUUUUUUUUUUUUGGAUGUAGGGCUGAUGUGUCUCAUUAUAACUAAACCAAGAUCUUUUAAAAUAGGAACUUCUAUAUAUUAGUUCCUACAUGCAUAUUUAAAUGGUUGAAUAAGUGAAAUGGUUUAGUAACUGCUGCCUACUUUAGGAUUCAUUCAAUGCACCUCAUUCUAGUGGAAACACAGUUCAGUCAGCCAAAGUUCUCUAUUCCUAUCCAAAGCUUUGUUGUUGUUGUUGUUUAUGGGAAGAUGCAACCAUGCAAAUACCAUAAUGUUAAAACUACGUUAUUUUUUGAAGAAAGAGUUAUUUAAAGGAUUCUCAAUUUAAAGAUUCUCACAAUAAUUCUUUUUUCUCUUCUACUCAAGGUCUGAGUCACAAUAGAAUAAAUCCAAUGUCAUGAGCCAAAUUCAUUGGAUCACUCCAUUAUUUUCUUACAGUAGUCAUUAUUUUCUUAUAGCAGUCAUUAUUUUCUUAUAGUAGUACCUCUUGUUUGUUGAUAUAAGUUAAUGGUAACAUUAAUGGUAUGUUAAUGUCUAUAAAAUCACACAGAUGGUGAUAAAAAACAGUUAAGGGUUUUUAAUGAAACUGUUGGAGUAAGAUUUAGGUUCUUUGUAACUACUGUGAUAGAAUACCUAAUUCAAUACUCAAACAGCAGAGAAGUGAAAAAGAACAGAUUAGAACAGGAAAAGUUGCUAGAACAUAAAAAAACAGGUGUUGGAGAGGAGUCCUUAUAAGUGUGAUUUUUUCCAACUGGAAGUUAAAACACAAGUGCUUGCAUUGCUGAAGGCAAGACAGGAUUUUAAAUGGCUCCCUUAAGGAGUACUUUCCUAUGACAAAGUGUCCUUGAGUAGUUAUGAUUAAAAAUCAGUUUAUUACAUAUAAUUUCUGCAUGGAACUGUUCUUAGCAUCAAGUGAUUUAGAAAAAAAAAGUUCUUCAGAUGCUGUGGCUUAGAAGAGGCCGCAAAGAACAUGUUUGAGAGGAAUGAGUUUUUGAUUUUCAAAAGAAAUGUAUACAUGAGACGAUGAUGAUGAUGAUGAUGAUGAUUAUUAUUAUUAUUAUUAUUAUUAUUAUUGUAGAUCCUUUAAAGAAGAGAGCCAUAAAAACACAGUGCUCUUGUCAUGAAUUUGACAGUGUUUCUCUGAAGGCAAUAAUACAUCUAGAAAGGAGAAACAUAAAAAAAAAAAAAAAUGAAGUUAACAUGGAAAUCCUUUUGGGUAGGAAUAACUUAUUGAAUAACACUUGAACAACUUUUUUUACACCCCUGCAUUCUGCUGGGAAAAAGUCUGUACUUACUUUCCAGCUGACCAGUCUCUGUUUAUUUGGCCAGUCCCUGCCAGAUCUCAGAGAGGAAUGGCAGCGUUCAAGCUUUUCUAAAAAAAGCCUUGACUGCCUAAUUCCUACCAGAACUUCACAUAUUGCCCCUUUGUCUCCUAAAUUUAAAUAGAUUCCAACAGUUAAAAGUAGGUCAGAAAAAUAAGGUUUAAAAAGGUAAGUGUCAAAAAGAUACAGCAGAAAUGCAGUUUCCUUAUCUUUAUGUGAUACAGAUUCAAUCCCCUCACUUUUUAAUUUUAUUUCAUGCAGGAUCCUGGCCAUAACAGAGCACCCAGUGGUAAUGCAACCAGGCAAAAUGAUUUGUGAUGAACAUUCAUUUUGAAGGGAGAAGGUGAAGCUCUUCUGAAUUAUUGAGAAGGGCAGAGUGAUCAAACACACUUUUUCUAAGGAACUCCUAUCACUUCUGUUCUACUUUCAGAGUCUCAUUUUAUUUCAUCAUGAAUACUUUGCAUUUAUAAAGUGCUGUGGUAUGUGAAGCCAUGAAAAUAACAAUUGGAUUAAAACUGUAAAAGGCCCAGGCAAAUCAAAGAGUUUAAGUAACCUGAUUCAUACACUGAAACUCAAGAGACUGUCCCUCAAGGAAUAACAUUAUUUUAGCACUGAAUUAUUUAUGUCAUUUCCCUUUAUUUCUGAAUUUCACCUGUGUGUCCUGGGGGUGUUUGAAGCCACAGAGCAUUAGAUAAAGACAUCUGGUGGCUUCAGUCUUGCUAUAGGUACUGUCCUGGUCUCCUAGGCUGUGGGAGGUGUAUGGGGCCUUCUGCUUCCCACCUUUCCGUUUUCUUCAGCUCUGUGACACUAGUCCUUCACAGUCCUCCCCUUCAGUCAUUCAUUAUUCAGUGCCCCAAAUCAACAUAAUCUCCUCAAUCAUCUAAAGUGAGACACAGUCAAAACACUGAUGGCCUAAUUCCUCUCUAUGGGAUAAAUAGAAGAGGAGCAGGUCCAGUGGGUGGGGGAAAUAGAAAAGACCCAGCUCUGUCUUGUGCUGUAAUUUUAGCCACAGCCUGAAAGUCCAGCCAACACAGGGACUGGCACUGCAGAGACAUAAAAACAUCUGCAUGCUCACUCACAGCUCUCAAAGCUUCACUGAGCCCUCACCAUUAAGAGAAAUAUUGAUACAACAUCAUGACAUUUGAUGAUAUUGUACUUUUGGGUAUCAGCAAUAUGAAAGAUUCAGACAGUAACAUCCAGAACUGCUAACAAUAAAAAUGCUUAUGAAUCCCCCUAGUUAUUGAAAACAAGGUCAUCUCAGAUACUGGCUACAGUAUUUAACUUGCUCAUUGUGGAACUGGGUACUCAGUGACCUCCAAACAGCAACUUGUUCAGUGCAGCUAUGAGUCAGCAUAAUAUCUUUAUUUUUUAUUUAUUCAGAUCCAUUAAUAAAAUAUGGAAUAUACAAAUAGGAGAAAUGUAUUGUGAAUUUAAGCACGAUUAAGGAGUGGAAUCUAUCUUGACCUCCCUGACACUAGUUUUUUUUCAAGGAAACUUUACAAUAGCUUCAUUUGAUGAAAAAUCGAGUCAAUGGGAGUAACUGCAAAAAACCUGGAGAGCAAAAUUGAACCUUAAGUGCAGGAAAGCAUCUUUAACAAAUGGUGAUUACAAAUGCCAAAUACAUAUUGACAUUAAUUUGACAUAAAAACUCCAUGUUAAACAGACACUGUUAUAUACAGAGAAUAUGAGAGAAAAAAGCUGAAAAUUAAUUUCAACAUGCCUAAUGAAGCCAAGAAGCUUACAAGAAAUCCCUCCAACUCAAAAAGAACAAAGAAAACAAUUGUUCUUUCCAGAUAUGUCAGUUUAUUUUUGUACAUUUGUGAAUUAUCUUGUUUUACAAAUGCAAAUAUUUCAGUUGUAUGUUUCUAAUGUUCUGAUGGUUUUCAUUAUAUUUGGUGAAGUCCUCCUCAGUGUAUAAAGCUGGAAUAAUAUCUCCACAUAGAUUCCUUCCUCACCUUCCUUAUAUAUUUAUUUAUUUUUACUGAUUUAAAUUUGAACUUUGGGAAUGGAAUUAAGGGCAUGACCAUAUGACUGGAAACAAAUCCUUUCAGACUGAAGUUCCUACCAUUGUAUUUGUGAUUUAUUUAUUGCAGAGGGUGAGGAGAGCAUAAGGAGAUUCUGGAAUUAGGAGCUCCUGCUUUGCAAAAAUCACACUUGGGACAUUAAAUUAAAAUUAAACUCAAAUUUCUUAGUUUGAGAAAAGUUGUUCCCAAGAAUCUCUUGCCUAAAGCCAGUAGGACUCCAAUGGCAGAAUUCUUUUCUUCUGUAAGUCAUUUCAUCUUGCUAAAUAUCCCGGCACAUCCAGGCUCCCCCACUGGAAACAUAUUUACUUGUACACAGAGAACAUGUAAUAAGAAAUUAAAAAAUUCAGAAAUUCUUGAAUCAGUGCUUCUAGAUAUUUAAGAAUACUUGCUCAUGGUCUCUAGAAGACAACAGGAACAAACAUAGUAAUCUUAAAAAUUCCUUUCUGAAGCAAAGGACAGGAGAAAUUUCAUUUAAGUUCACUGUUUACAAUCAAACAUGGGAAAUGUAGGUCAUUAUUCUUAAACUGAAUUACUGCUAGAAGGCUGAAGUAUAUUCAAGUUCAUUCUGUCUGAAAUCUGCACAUUUAGGAGGUAUCUUCUAUGAAUAUUCACAUUUUUUAUUUCUUCAAGCCUUAGAUAAUGAAUUAAUAGUUUUGUUAGUAUGAUUAUAGGGCAAAAUACAUUUCUUUCUAUGACUAUCUAUAAAAGCUUUUGCUACCUUUUUGUAGAUGAGUUGCAUGGUGGUAUUGACAAAUUGUAAAAUAAUCUUCCUACAGUAAAGAAAAUUCCCCAAGUCACAACUUAUGUAUACUAAAAUUAAGAAGAAAAUAACAAAUCAAGUACAUAAUGCUGAAUGAACUUUGAUUAAAAGUAAAUGUAGAACAUCGAAGCACUAAAUGUUUAUUCCAAUAUUUUCAGGUGGAGAAUAUAGCUUCACAUACGCAGUCUUUGCUGUGAUUAUUUUGCAUUUCACUCAUUUCACAGAUUUUUUCUUCUUCUCUUCUGUUACAAUUUGUUGCUCUGCAGGUUUCCUGUUCCCCUUAAUUCCUACACUGGACUUUAAGUAUUAAAAAAGUUAGAAUGACCAUGUUGCAACAGAUCAAAGGUCUAUCUGGCUUCGUGUGGUUUCUCAAAGCAGUCAAAAGCAAGUGUAAAGAUAACAGUGUAAGAAUAUAAGACCUGGACAAGAAUAUAUGAUACUUUCUCUUACAGUACACUUUUAACCUACGAGUACUUUCAUCUCAGCAAGUCCAGAGCUGGCUGUACUUUCUGUCUAUUUAGUAGCCCUCAAGUCAGACCUUGCCUUGAGCUUUUGUAAAGUUUUAACAUCAUUUCAGAAAGUCUUUCAUAGCUCAUCUACCUUUUACACAAAGAACCACAUCCUGGUGUUUGUUUUGAAUUUGCUUCACAUCCUUGUAGUGUCAUCCAGUCCCCCUCGCAGUACAGUUUUAGGGUGGCAGAUUGUGCUAGGGUUUUUUGACAAAAAAACCCCAACAACUGCUUACAUGGAGAGGUUUGGUAGUUGUUAUUUUUAUUACAGGAACGACCUGAGAACAUUCCAAGACAUCCAAACGUAGCUGAAUUUACUCUGGCAUUAUUUGCUGCAAAUGUAUUCCUACUUCCUCCUCCUUUCCUAAAAAUCUGGGUGCAUACACUGCACUGCCUCAUUGGUGAAGUUGCUAUUUUAUUGCUCUUAUGUGUUUCAUCUUGUCAGAAGGCCCAGAAGAUGUGAGUGAAAACAUGCUUCUUUAGUCCACAGCAUUUCUGAACCAGUGUAGAGUCACUUUUAAUACAUUAAUAGUACCCUCACCAUCUUUCAAAAGUGAUGAUGUAACCGUAAGAAAUCUUUGAGCAGAUCUCAAUUUAAUAAAGUUUGACAGCUAGUGUGAAGUCCCCUGAUUUGUUCUGAACUUAACCUGAAGAAAUAGCUGUUGGACAUUUUUUCCUCUGUGGGUCUUUGGGAGGUAUGUGAGGAGAAAUUAUCUUUAUAGGAUGGGAAACGUUAGAUUAAUUUUCUUGUUUGGUUAUCUUUUGUCGUGGGAGUUAAACUAAGUUGUUUGGUUUAUGAUUGCUUGUUAACUAUAUGUCAAGGGUGCCUCAAGCUUGAGAUGAGAGCUUUUGAAUAUUUUGUACAAAUCAAAAGCAAACAAACUAAUCAAGUUAAACAAAACCAAGGAAAUAACACCCUUGCAGAGGACUGGAAGCAAAACAAGCUUUACUUCCUCCAAAACUAACUUCUGGAUUAUAUGGAAGUUAAUUUGUCCUGCUUUUAAAUAUGAAAUGUGAGGGUUACUAAUAAGCGAAUCAAAAGCCAGGAACCAAAGCUAACCUCAUAUUUUAACUUCGGGAUAUUUUCAAGAUUUCUGUCAGAGACCACAGGGAGAUUACCUCAGAAUAUCUGAAUGGAUUUAAUUUAUUUAGCUGCUUAGUGUUGGUAAGCCACAUUACUCUGAUCCACUGUAGCAGAAAGGCAAUCUGCAGGCAGGGCACUGGUAGGGCUCUUAAUGAAAGCCCAGGAGAUUUUCUUGUUUUCCCAGGUCUGCUGGGAAAUGCUGACUCAUUCAGGGCAAGCUCCUUCUCUGGAUAUCUCAGUUUUCCCUAGCUAUGAGAUAGGACUAAUAAUAUUAAAUGUGGCAGAUCCAUUUAAAAAAAAUACUAAAUUCACUAGAAAUAUACAGACUCUGAGGACUCAAACUACUAACAAGCCUGGGUUGAAUUCAGCUAGAGAGAGUCCUGAGAAGUCAAGACUUUAUUUCCGCAAAAUUGUAAGAAGUUGGACUGAGAUGUGAACCAUGUGGCUAAAAAAUGCUGGCUGAAAGUUGCUGCAGGCGUGAGACUUAACAGGCUGUUCAUAAUGACUGGCAAGUUCCAUCUGGAACACAGAAAAAGUCUUGAUAUGUGAAAACAAAACAACACGACACAACACAACCUAAGUAUUUAACACAGAAUGAUGGAUAAUUAUAUCAUUAUCAUUCAUUGUAUUGAUUAUUUCAUUUUUGUUUCUAUAUUCCAGUUAAUUUUUUUUUGAACUUUGUAAUUUAUAGCCAUUACAAACUUUCUAUAAGUCUACAAAAUUUUGUAAGAAAAAAUAGCUCAUUAAAAUUAAGUUAUAUAUAUGCUCUUUAACACUAUUCUGUAUUGUUUUCAGAAUAAAUAGUAUGUGUUUUAGAGUAUCAAGAGAUUAUUUCUGUUAAACUUCCAUUUAUAACAAAAUGUAUUAAUUUUAUGUCUUCAAAAACUAUAUCGAUGGUUUCUAAGGAGACGAGAAAAAUUUGUGUAAGUUUCAGUUUGAUUCUGGAACAGACAUUUUUAUUAAAUUUACAUAACAUAAAUAUUGCAAAAUAUUUUAUGAAAAUAUUGUUCUGACCAAAGCUGCCUACAAGAAAUAUAUGAAACCCAGUGCAUUUGAAGAACUGACUUUGAAAACCCCAUAAAGAUUAUUAACCUUCAAAAAGCUCAAUUUGUUUUCAGAAAAGGCAACUUCUUUCUUAACUUACUAAAUGUCAUUUUGUUCCACUGGUGUGCUGAUGUUAUCACAGAAUCAGGAUCACAGAAUGUUAGGGUUUGGAAGGGACCUCGAAAGAUCAUCUAGUCCAGUCCCACUGCUGGAGCAGGAACACCUAGAUGAAGUUACGCAGGAAUGUGUCCAGGCGGGUUUCAUAUGUCUCCAGAGUAGGAGACUCCACAACACCCCUGGGCAGCCUGUUCCAGUGUUCUGUCACCCUCACUGAGAAGAAGUUUCUUCUUAAAUUUAAGUGGAACCUCUUGUGUUACAGUUUGCACCAAUUAUCCUUUGUCUUACCAUUGUCUGUCACUGAGAAGAGCCUGGCUUCAUCCUUGUGACAUUCACCCUUUACAUAUUUAUAAACAUUAAUGAGGUCACCCCUCAAUCUCCUCCAAGCUAAAGAGACCCAGCUCCCUCAGCCUUUCGUCAUAAGGGAGAUGCUCCACUCCCUUAAUCAUCUUUGUUGCCCUGCACUGGACUCUCUCCAGCAGUUCCCUGUCCUUCUGGAACUGAGGGGCCCAGAACUGGACACAAUAUUCCAGGUGUGGUCUCACCAGGGCAGAGUAGAGGGGAAGGAGAACCUCUCUUGACCUACUAACCACCCCCCUUGUAAUACACCCCAGGAUGCCAUUGGCCUUCCUGGUCACAAGGGCACAGUGCUGGCUCAUGGUCAUCCUGCUGUCCACCAGGACCCCCAGGUCCCUUUCCCCUACACUGCUCUCUAAUAGGUCAUUCCCCAACUUAUACUGGAACCUGGGGUUGUUCCCACCCAGAUGCAAGACUCUACACUUUCCCUUGUUAUAUUUCAUUAAAUUUUUCCCCGCCCAACUCUCCAGCCUGUCCAGGUCUUGCUGGAUGGCAGCACAGCCUUCUGGCGUGUCAGCCACUCCUCCCAGUAUAUUAUAAUCUAAUUAACUUCAGCUUACCAAAAGUUCUGCAACUGAUGUCCUAAAAUGCAUCUAAAAAUCAUUGUAUUACUGAUUUCUUGUUUCUUAGACAAAUUUGCCACAGCGGUAAAUUAAGCAUAACAGGCUUUAUGACAUACUUGCUGUUUGUUUUUUCAUAUAAAUAGAAAACUGGCCAGCUUGCGGCUAGUCUGCAUGGAGAUGAUAUGAAACAUUAAUGUGAAGCGGCAAAAGGCAUGAUGAUACAGUCUGUAAGUUAGUUAGGUUAAUGCUAUCACUUCCAACCACAUGAGUGCUUUUAGUUAGAAAUAGUCAUAUAAAAGUACUAUAAUUUAAUUACUCCCCUCUGUUUAUGUGUGGGGAGGGUGUACAGAGAGUUUUAAACUAAUUUCUGAGAACAUUCUAUUCCAUUUAAUUUCCAUGCACAGUCAAAUUCUAAAUUCCUUAAGAAAACCAAGGCAGGUCUAUUUUGUCACAUUUAAAAUUUUCUGUUUGCAAAAGCAGCCAUCACUGGCAGAGAACAGAUUAAAAUUCUAUCCAUCACAGCUGGUUUAUGACUGGAAUAUAAAUGUGUUUCUUAUGUGUGUUCCUUGCCAUCCAUUGAAGAUGUAAAAGCUACUGUCAUUUCUGGGCUGUAUUAUAAAGGUUCAUUCUCAAACUUAUAGACAAUCUCUAUAAAAAUAUUUUCCCAGUAAAUUUGCACUUACAAGUAAACAAAUAAAGUAAUUGCAAAUGUUACAUGAUAAUUUUUUUAUUUUUUUUUAUUUCUCUGUUUUAUGUUUCUUAUAUUUAAAAUGCAAAGUAAAACAUAGCAGAUUAAGUCUUUAUUGAAUUUGGAAAACUCUGACAGUGACCUCCCACUUUAUGAUUUAGAGAAAAGUGGCCGGCUGACAAAUGUUUUCUAAUACAAUCUUGUUUAUGUAGUAAAUUGAAAAUAAACACAUAAUA